rnacentral:rRNA from 1 species
UACGAAGGGGGCUAGCGUUGCUCGGAAUCACUGGGCGUAAAGCGCACGUAGGCGGCUUUCUAAGUCAGGGGUGAAAUCCUGGAGCUCAACUCCAGAACUGCCUUUGAUACUGGGAAGCUCGAGUCCGGAAGAGGUGAGUGGAACUCCGAGUGUAGAGGUGAAAUUCGUAGAUAUUCGGAAGAACACCAGUGGCAAAGGCGGCUCACUGGUCCGGUACUGACGCUGAGGUGCGAAAGCGUGGGGAGCAAACAGG